CCUACGGGUGGCAGCAGUGAGGAAUAUUGGUCAAUGGGCGCGAGCCUGAACCAGCCAAGUCGCGUGCGGGAAGACGGUCCUAUGGAUUGUAAACCUCUUUUGUCGGGGAGCAAAAGACGCCACGCGUGGCGUUCCGAGAGUACACGAAGAAAAAGCAUCGGCUAACACCGUGCCAGCAGCCGCGGUAAUACGGAGGAUGCGAGCGUUAUCCGGAUUUAUUGGGUUUAAAGGGUGCGCAGGCGGAAGAUCAAGUCAGCGGUAAAAUUGAGAGGCUCAACCUCUUCGAGCCGUUGAAACUGGUUGUCUUGAGUGAAUUAGAGGUAUGCGGAAUGCGUGGUGUAGCGGUGAAAUGCAUAGAUAUCACGCAGAACUCCGAUUGCGAAGGCAGCAUACCGGCGCUCAACUGACGCUCAUGCACGAAAGUGUGGGUAUCGAACAGGAUUAGAUACCCGGGUAGUC
rnacentral:rRNA from 1 species